AUGUAGUCACUUGUUGAAAUGCUUAGAAAGACAAGUAUUUAGGAACGGAGGGAGUACAAGUCAAACAAGCUCCAUAGAAAAAGAAAAAGCAAACUGCGAUUGUAUAGUGUUAAAAAACAGAAAACAAUUCCCUAAAAUUCCCAUAAAUUCUGCACUGAAGAGACCUUCCCAAGAAAAAAAAACUAACAAAAGCUGAGUGGACCGAGAGAUCGAGCGGACUGCAAAACGAAAUACUGGAGCAAUAAGCAAACAUGGGGCAUCUUUUUUAUUUAGAGGAAAACGCAGGGCAUUUUCUUUCGCAACCCCCCUCUCCCGUCCCCAGUUCGCUAUCAGGGACAUGCAGACGUCGGCGACGGCGGCGCAUAGGGUUUGAAGAGGCCGCCGAGCUCCCCCCUCCGCCGCCCCUGGAAUUUUCAAGCGACGGCCUCCUCCCUCGGCUGCCCCUGCGAUUCUCCAGCGAAGAGCUCCUACGCCACCUGGAUCGGACCCUCUGCCGACCCCGUACGGCUCCUCCCUCUUCCUCGCCCUGUCACUGAGCUCUGCGCCUCCGCCGACUUCCGUGAUCGGCCCUCCGGCCGCCCCCGCGCUUCUCCCGUGCCCUCCGAACUCCCGGUCGCCUCCCUACCCAAGGCCCAGGCCCGCGACCUCGACUGGCCCCAUCAGCUCCUCCCUCUAGCAGCAAGUGACAAAAUCCUUUUAACGCGAAGUAUGACGAGGUGGAAAGGUGGCCAACUAGUUUACUUUUCGUUGCACGAAACAGUAGCUAGAGGCCUUGGAUGACAACGAAGCCAAGAGCUCGAUGGAAGUAAUUUGUAGAGAGGACCUAUGUUAUAGAAAUUUAGUUUUCAAUGUGUAUAUUCUCCAUUGUUUAUGUGUAAAGCAUGAUAAAAUGUAAAUAUUGAUACUUCCUUGGAUGUAUAUUCUUCUAUAUUGUUUGCUUCA